rnacentral:rRNA from 1 species
CCUACGGGUGGCAGCAGUGAGGAAUAUUGGUCAAUGGACGAGAGUCUGAACCAGCCAAGUAGCGUGAAGGAUGACUGCCCUAUGGGUUGUAAACUUCUUUUAUAAAGGAAUAAAACGAGGCACGUGUGCCUUUUGGCAUGUACUUUAUGAAUAAGGAUCGGCUAACUCCGUGCCAGCAGCCGCGGUAAUACGGAGGAUCCGAGCGUUAUCCGGAUUUAUUGGGUUUAAAGGGAGCGUAGAUGGGUUGUUAAGUCAGUUGUGAAAGUUUGCGGCUCAACCGUAAAAUUGCAAUUGAUACUGGCAGUCUUGAGUACAGUUGAGGUAGGCGGAAUUCGUGGUGUAGCGGUGAAAUGCUUAGAUAUCUGGAGGAACAUCAGUGGCGAAGGCGACUAUCUGGCACAUAACUGACGCUGAGGAGCGAAAGCGUGGGUAGCAAACAGGAUUAGAUACCCCUGUAGUC